UGAAAACAAAGAGGAACUAAAGAGUUUUUCGAUGAAGGUGAAAGAGGAGAGUGAAAAAGCUGAGUUAAAACUCCAUACUCAAAAAACGAAAAUCACGGAAUCUGGUCCCAUCACUUCAUGGCAAAUAGAUGGGGAAACAAUGGAAACAGUGACGGACUUUAUUUUCUUGGGCUCCAAAAUCACUGCAGAUGGUAAUUGCA